AACACGGACAGCCAGAUCGCCCACCCCUGGGUAACUAAGUCUGAAUUUCUAGGACUGGCGCCUGAGGGAACGUAUUUUUUGAGCGUUCACCAGGCAAUUAUAUGUAGCUCCGUGAACUGCCACUGCCUCCUGAUUCGGUAGUAUGGACAGUAGUGUCUUAGCUGGAGGGUUCGCUCUAAGCUUUGAAGAGAGAUUCCCCUGAAAGUUGGAUAAGGUAAACGCUGUCAGGUUAAAAGAAGGGGCCUGGAGUUAAGGAGACUUGAUCGCUUGUGUUCCCAUUCUUUGCUGAGCUGAGUGCCCUUGGGAAAAUGACAGAACUCCUGAGGGCCUUUGUACUGCAUGUGAAAAUGAAGAGUAUGGACUGGCAAUUCUGGUUGGAAUAGAAAGCAUAGCCUCUUGGGAUUAUUGGUGUCCUUGCUCACUCAGUUGUAGACACAACACACUUACUGUGUGCUUGAUUUGAGUCUCUCUAAACUUCAGCUUAUUGUGUGGUAUCCUUGAAUUCCUGUGUUCAUGGACCUCAUGAACACACAUUGAGAUUGGGAGAAAAGAGGAGCAAGGACCAGCCCUGGGACGCUCCAACAUUUAAGAAUCAGGGAGAAGAGGAGGAUCCAGUUGAGGAGAAUGAGGAGGAGAAACCAAGGAGGGAGGAGAAAAAGCAAGAAAAGGGAUUUUAGGUGGAAACUAGCAAUUGAGCUCAAUGUUGUUGAAAAGUCAAGCUGGAUGUAGCCUGAAAAUUGACUACUUGCUUGAACCACAUGGGUCAUUGGUGACCUGGGCUAAAGCACUUUUGGUGGAGUAAUAAGGUUGGACUCUAAUUAUGAUGGAUUCAAGAGGAACAGAAUCUAUGUCUUAUGUUUCAUUAUGUAAAGAAAUCUCUCACUUCCUCUGUGUUUCUUCAUUUCUGCAUUUCUGCCAACCCCCUCAAUUGGGAUAAACCAAACCAGUAUCCAGAGUAUCUUUACUUCUCAGAAAGUGGGAGAAUGGGAAUAAUUAUAUGUAUUUUAGUACUUUAUCCCCAUCUCAUCCAUUGGUCUGGUCUGUAGAAUCCCUGAAACCUACCCUGUAUUUCACCUUACCACUUGGCAUGAAGGCUCCCUAAGUAGUUUUAGUGAUAGUAACAGUUUGUCUUAUCCUUUCAAUUUGAAAUGUUUGUUUUCCUGUUAUAUCAGAUGGCUGUUCAGUGAGUAUUCAAAGUACAGAAAUGAUCAGGUUCCAUUUCAAGCUAGCUGGAUAAAGAAUAUAGUUGACUGGGUUCUAGCCUUGAUUCUAAAAUAGUUGUGUGAUUCAGUGAAGGUUCUUAGCUGUAAGAAAAUCUGGGCAGGUCACUUAUGAAAAUUUAAUCUCUAAGAAGAGAAAGCCUUUAAAAUUUCCUUAGAUCCAUGAAAGUCUAUACCUUACUGCUCUCAACUCUUCACACAUUUUUUAAUCAGCUUACUCUUCCCAACUGUCUGAAGGGGUAGAUGAUAUUAUUCAUGCUUUAGAGAACAGAAUAGGAAACAGAAGCUAAGGAAGUCUAGGUGAUUUACCAUUUUUUAAAGUUGAUAAGAGAGGGAACAAUUUAGGAUUGCAGGCCAUGAAGGCAAGUGGCCUUGGUUUGAAUCAUGACUCUGUAACUUACUAGCUGUGUGACCUUGGACAGUGAUGUAAGUCCUGAGACUCAGUUCCUGUACUGCAAAAUGGGGCUAAGGCCAAUAUUAGAAUUAUGAAUUAUUGGAACAAUAUCUGCGAUAAUCCAGGUAAAGGACAUUAUGCCAAAGGGCAUAAUCCUCAUCAUGUAGUAUGUUUUUGGUAAGUGCUAAGUCAUAAUAAAAUGCACUUCCUUUAUUGGGCUUGGCACUUGGCAUCUGAGGCAAAUACCGAUUACUUGUCUAGUCUUUCAAAUCCCAUUUUUAUUUUAGAAUUCUAGUUAUGGGAUGAUAUGACAAACUGUAACUGUUUUUUUCCCCUUAGGAACAAAUUAGUAUAAGAGUAAGAGGAAUUUUAUCAUUUUCUAUCAAUUUCCAAUAUCAAAAUUGACAAAUCAAGGCAGGCCAAAUUUGAAAAUGUGCAGAGAGGAAGAUCACCACUAAAUCACCUCAUUUAUUUUCUCUCUCAAAAAUAUAUUUUUUAAAACAGCAGGAUAAAAAAAGAAAAUUGUAUUAGAAAAAGGGCUGUUACCCUACCACAUUUCCUCAGUGAUUGAUCGUAUUUUCUCCCAGGAAUUGAAGAAAAGGAGAAGAGAACAUGAGGGUUGAUUGCAUCAAAAGUGUGACACGAAUAAAAGAAUCAAGAAAUCACUUAUGUCUGCACAGAAGUCAACUAAUAAAUCAAAAGCAUGUUCUUAGCUAAGUCGAUGUUUCUUUGAAACAGCAUAUGGCGCAAUUCCAAUAUACUCUAUAUUCAGCUACCUAACAGGCUGUCUUGUUGCUUUCAACUAGUGAAAAACCUAGCAGCACAAAUGUUUAUAAGGCUGGUAAAACAUUUUAACUUUAUUUUAUGUCCUGAUUAGCUAUUACUGGACUGAUGAUUACACUGUAAAACCUAAAAUCAUAAAUGGAGAAAAUAACCUGUUGGCAGGAGUGAACACUAAUUGUUACAACGUCCUAUAUUAAAUGUGUUCAUAGUUUCUUUUUAGCAGUUAUUUUGAUGUAAAAUUUAACAAGUUUUCUUUCAUCACAUAUCAAGUCUGUAUUUUUAAAAAAAUUCUGGAUUAAAAUUUUUGCAUCAUUUUCA